CCUACGGGGGGCUGCAGUGGGGAAUAUUGGGCAAUGGGCGCAAGCCUGACCCAGCAACGCCGCGUGAAGGAAGAAGGCUUUCGGGUUGUAAACCUCUUUUCUCAGGGACGAAGAAAGUGACGGUACCUGAGGAAUAAGCCUCGGCUAACUACGAGCCAGCAGCCGCGGGAAUACGGAGGGGGCAAGCUUUAUCCGGAUUUAAUGGGUGUAAAGGGUGGGUAGGCGGGAGCGCAAGUCAGAUGUGAAAACUCAGGGCUCAACCCUGAGCCUGCAUUUGAAACUGUGUUUCUUGAGUGCUGGAGAGGCAAGCGGAAUGCGGGGUGUAGCGGUGAAAUGCGUAGAUAUACGGAAGAACACCAGUGGCGAAGGCGGAUUGCUGGACAGUAACUGACGCUGAGGCGCGAAAGCGUGGGGAGCAAACAGGAUUAGAUACCCGUGUAGUC
rnacentral:rRNA from 1 species